rnacentral:rRNA from 1 species
AGCGAACGCUGGCGGCAGGCCUAACACAUGCAAGUCGAACGAUCCUUCGGGAUAGUGGCGGACGGGUGAGUAACACGUGGGAACGUGCCCUUUGGUACGGAACAACUCAGGGAAACUUGAGCUAAUACCGUAUGAGCCCUUCGGGGGAAAGAUUUAUCGCCAUUGGAGCGGCCCGCGUCUGAUUAGCUAGUUGGUGAGGUAAAGGCUCACCAAGGCUACGAUCAGUAGCUGGUCUGAGAGGAUGAUCAGCCACAUUGGGACUGAGACACGGCCCAAACUCCUACGGGAGGCAGCAGUGGGGAAUCUUGCGCAAUGGGCGAAAGCCUGACGCAGCCAUGCCGCGUGAAUGAUGAAGGUCUUAGGAUUGUAAAAUUCUUUCACCGGGGACGAUAAUGACGGUACCCGGAGAAGAAGCCCCGGCUAACUUCGUGCCAGCAGCCGCGGUAAUAC